rnacentral:rRNA from 1 species
UGGUUAAAUUAAUAAGGGCAUAUGAGGAAUGACUUGGUACUAAAAGUUGAUGAAGGACGUGACGAACAACGAUAUGCUUCGGGGAGCUGUAAGUAGCUUUGAUCCGGAGAUUUCCGAAUGGGGUAACCCACUAGUGGUAAUGCGCUAGUAUCAUAUAGUAAAUUCAUAGCUAUAUAGAGAGUAACCUGGUGAACUGAAACAUCUAAGUAACCAGAGGAAAAGAAAGAAAAAUCGAUUUCCCUAGUAGUGGCGAGCGAAAAGGAAAGAGCCCAAACCAAUCUUCGGAUUGGGGUUGUAGGACCUUUUUAUAAGAGUAAAAAAAUAAUUGUAUAGUUUAAUUGUUUGGAAAGACAAACCAGAGAAGGUGAUAGUCCUGUGAGCGAAAUACAUUUAUCUCUUUAAGGUAUCCUGAGUACGGCGAGACACGUGAAAUCUUGUCGGAAUCCACGGGGACCAUCCCGUAAGGCUAAAUACUCUUUAGUAACCGAUAGUGAACAAGUACCGUGAGGGAAAGUUGAAAAGAACCCCGGAAGGGGAGUGAAAUAGAUACUGAAAUCAUAUGCUUACAAAAAGUCAAAGCCCGUUAAUGGGUGAUGGCGUGCCUUUUGCAGAAUGAACCGGCGAGUUACGAUAUUAUGCAAGGUUAAGUUGAAUAGACGGAGCCGAAGCGAAAGCGAGUCUUAAUAGGGCGAGUUAGUAUGGUGUCGUAGACCCGAAACCAAGUGAUCUAGCCAUGAGCAGGUUGAAGGUUGGGUAAAACCAAUUGGAGGACCGAACCGAUGUACCCGGAAACGUGCUCGGAUGACUUGUGGCUAGCGGAGAAAUUCCAAUCGAACUUGGAUAUAGCUGGUUCUCCCCGAAAUAGGUUUAGGCCUAGCCUCGAGAUAAUAGUUUAUUGAAGGUAGAGCACUGAAUAAAUGAUGGCUACACAUAGUGGUACUGAAUUUAAUCAAACUCCGAAUGUCAGUAAAUGUUUCUCGGGAGUCAGCGUAUGGGUGAUAACGUCCAUGCGCGAGAGGAAAAGAGUCCAGAUCGCCAGUUAAGGUCCCAAAAUUUAUACUAAGUGGGAAAGGUUGUGGAGUUGUCAAAACAGCUAGGAGGUUUGCUUAGAAGCAGCAAUCCUUUAAAGAGUGCGUAAUAGCUCACUAGUCGAAUGACACUGCGCCGAAGAUGUACCGGGGCUAAGUAUAAUACCGAAACUGCGAAUAUAAUUUUUUUAAAUUAUAUGGUAGGGGAGCGUUCUAAGCGCGCAGAAGAUAGAUCGUGAGGACUAUUGGAGUGCUUAGAAGUGAGAAUGCCGGUGUGAGUAGCGCAAGAUAGGUGAGAAUCCUAUCCACCGAUUGACUAAGGGUUCCUGGGCCAGGUUCGUCCUCCCAGGGUAAGUCAGGACCUAAGAUGAGGCUGAGAAGCGUAGUCGAUGGACAACAGGUUGAUAUUCCUGUACCACUUAUAUAACAGAUGGAAUGACAAAGAAGGCUAGAUUGAGCCAGUUAUUGGAUUCUGGUCUAAGCACAAAGACUGAUAUAUUGGCAAAUCCGUAUAUCGUUCAGUUGAAGUGUGAUGGCGAAGAAAACUUCGGUUUUUUAAGUCGAUUGAAGCCAAGCUUUCAAGAAAAGUUUCUAUGGUUAAUUAUAUAAGUGCCUGUACCGAGAACCGACACAGGUAGUCAAGAAGAGAAUUCUAAGGUGAGCGAGAGAACUAUGGUUAAGGAACUCGGCAAAAUGACCCCGUAACUUAGGGAUAAGGGGUGGUCUAGAGAUAGACCCACAGUAAAGAGUCCCAGGCAACUGUUUACCAAAAACACAGGUCUCUGCUAAGUCGUAAGACGAAGUAUAGGGGCUGACGCCUGCCCGGUGCUGGAA